rnacentral:rRNA from 1 species
UACGUAGGGUGCAAGCGUUGUCCGGAAUUAUUGGGCGUAAAGAGCUCGUAGGCGGUCUGUCGCGUCGGCUGUGAAAACCCGGGGCUCAACCCCGGGCCUGCAGUCGAUACGGGCAGACCAGAGUGCGGUAGGGGAGACUGGAAUUCCUGGUGUAGCGGUGAAAUGCGCAGAUAUCAGGAGGAACACCGGUGGCGAAGGCGGGUCUCUGGGCCGAUACUGACGCUGAGGAGCGAAAGCGUGGGGAGCGAACAGG